rnacentral:misc_RNA from 1 species
UAUGUGUACUUUUAAACUAACGGUCUACCCGGUAGUUACUCGCUGGAGAAUUACUCGUCCAGCUAACACGAAAGGCUGAAAUUACUUUGCAUCGUCCAACGAACCUGUAUCGUUCACGUCGACACAAAAUCAAGCACGAUGCUCCGUCAGUCUAUAUGCACGCAGUCAUCAUUCGUCACUAACUCGUCUCUUCACAACGACCACACUCCUUCACGACACUGACAACACCAUCCCCAACGCGAACAACACUCUCGGACCACGUUGAUGUCACGCAGGAGACACAAGAAAUCACGAAACCGAUAGAUCUCCGGUGAUCUCACGUCGCAGUUCGAACGUUUUACGAAUAAG